GAGGAUAUAGUUCAGUGGUAGAGCACAUGCUUAGCAUGCACAAGGUCCUGGGUUCAAUCUCCGGUACCUCCA
rnacentral:tRNA from 1 species